GAUGAACGCUGGCGGCGUGCCUAAUACAUGCAAGUCGAGCGAAUGGAUUAAGAGCUUGCUCUUAUGAAGUUAGCGGCGGACGGGUGAGUAACACGUGGGUAACCUGCCCAUAAGACUGGGAUAACUCCGGGAAACCGGGGCUAAUACCGGAUAACAUUUUGAACCGCAUGGUUCGAAAUUGAAAGGCGGCUUCGGCUGUCACUUAUGGAUGGACCCGCGUCGCAUUAGCUAGUUGGUGAGGUAACGGCUCACCAAGGCAACGAUGCGUAGCCGACCUGAGAGGGGGAGCGGCCACACUGGGACUGAGACACGGCCCAGACUCCUACGGGAGGCAGCAGUAGGGAAUCUUCCGCAAUGGACGAAAGUCUGACGGAGCAACGCCGCGUGAGUGAUGAAGGCUUUCGGGUCGUAAAACUCUGUUGUUAGGGAAGAACAAGUGCUAGUUGAAUAAGCUGGCACCUUGACGGUACCUAACCAGAAAGCCACGGCUAACUACGUGCCAGCCGCCGCUGUAA
rnacentral:rRNA from 1 species